CUUGUUUUGUGACCGUAUGCAGGUUAUUAUUCCAACCUUGCUCUAACGUUAAGUCAACUACACAAGGUCUCGGUGAGCAACUGAAUCAGGUGUGUUUUGAGCAAGGCUGGAACAAAAACCUGCACACCAGUUCUCCAAGGGUUAGGGUUGGACAUCCUGGCAUCUGCUCCAAUAUACCGAGGGUGGCGUGAUUCAUUAUAACCAGGUCCCUGUGUUUUGGUUAAUUCAUUAUAACCAGGUCCCUGUGUUUUGGUUAAUUCAUUAUAACCAGGUCCCUGUGUUUUGGUUAAUUCAUUAUAACCAGGGUCCUGUGUUUUGGUUAAUCAUGUUGAUUCAUUAUAACCAGGUCCCUGUGUUUUGGUUAAUCGUGUUGAUUCAUUAUAAUCAGGUCCCUGUGUUUUGGUUAAUCGUGUUGAUUCAUUAUAUCUAGGACCCUGUGUUUUGGUUCAUUCAUUAUAACUAGGUCCCUGUGUUUUGGUUGAUUCAUUAUAACCAGGGUCCUGUGUUUUGGUUAAUCGUGUUGAUUCAUUAUAAUCAGGACCCUGUGUUUUGGUUAAUCAUGUUGAUUCAUUAUAACCAGGGUCCUGUGUUUUGGUUAAUCAUGUUGAUUCAUUAUAACCAGGGUCCUGUGUUUUGGUUAAUCAUGUUGAUUCAUUAUAACCAGGUCCCUGUGUUUUGGUUAAUCAUGUUGAUUCAUUAUAACCAGGGUCCUGUGUUUUGGUUAAUCAUGUUGAUUCAUUAUAACCAGGGCCCUGUGUUUUGGUUAAUCAUGUUGAUUCAUUAUAACCAGGUCCCUGUGUUUUGGUUAAUCAUGUUGAUUCAUUAUAACCAGGGUCCUGUGUUUUGGUUAAUCAUGUUGAUUCAUUAUAACCAGGUCCCUGUGUUUUGGUUAAUCGUGUUGAUUCAUUAUAAUCAGGUCCCUGUGUUUUGGUUAAUCAUGU